CUAAUCCUGAAAUGUGCGGAUAAGCCUAUAAUUUUGAACCUACAUCUGACAUAAGGGAGCUUGGAGUUUUGGUAAUGGAUGUCAGGCCUCAGUAUAAUUCCGACAUCCGGCCGAGAGCCGGGUGCAACGGCAGGGGAAGGCUGAAGUUGCCAACAGGGCACCCACCUAGCGAAGGCUAGGUGUCAAAAUAUAGGUGAACGGCAUUUUGGGUAUUCC
rnacentral:other from 1 species